rnacentral:rRNA from 1 species
CAGUAGCCGCGGUAAAACCAGCAGCCCAAGUGGUGGUCGCGCUUAUUGGGCCUAAAGCGCUCGUAGCCUGGCCGGUAAGUUCCCCGUGAAAUCGGGUCGCCCAACGAUUCGGCUUGCGGGGAAUACUGUCGGUCUUGGGGCCGGGAGACGCCGAGGGUACUCCGGGGGUAGCGGUGAAAUGCUGUAAUCCUCGGGGGACUACCAGUGGCGAAGGCGCUCGGCGAUAACGGGCCUGACGGUGAGGGGCGAAAGCUGGGGGCGCGAACGGGAUUAGAUACCCCCGUAGUCCCUGUCUCUUAUA